AGGAGAGGGAGCAUCCUAGAGGUGACAGUGUCAGCCAAAGAGGGACAUUGGCUAAGGUCCACCCCGUGAGCUGGAGACAUGCCAGUUAACAACAGGGGCAAAAACAGAACAUGGAGAACAGAAUGGGAGAAAGGAAUUUGUCUCGGCAAGGAAGUGUCUACACAGCGGUGCUAUAGCUGUGCUGCUCUACUGCCAUGUAGACAUAACCUGGGACUCAGCAGAUGAUGGCUCAGACACAGGGGUCCCAGAGGAGGACAAACUCCCAAGAAAGAGUGAGCUCGUUUCCCUGGAAAUGUUAAAUCCUGUCCAUGCUGAAGACAAGGAGGAAUAGUGCCAUUGACUUCAACUGGACCAGUUCUUGGCCUUUAGAAAUGAUUCCGGAUCAGACAAAAUAAAAAGGGUGCUCAGUGGGGGUGGGGGUCAACCAAUUAGCAUUUAAUGAACCAAUGGCGAUCCCCUUAGGAAAUCCAUCCCUAAACCCAAAUGUUCCUGUACAGUAGGGGUCUCAAACCCAAUUUACCUUAGGGCCAGUGCCAGUCCUCAAAUCCUCCCAGAGGGCCAAUAAUGUCAC